UUGUUUCAAUUGAGUCACUUUUGCCCUUAUAGUUUUCGAUCUGAAGCACUUCAAGGACAAUCCCAAUUUUCCGUCAAAUUAUUCUAACUUACGUUAUUUAUUGAGGGGCAUUUUGCAAAACACGAAACUGAAUGAAGCUUUGUAUGGUCUGAAUUAAUGUAUUGAGCCCAUUUGUAGCCCUAAACAAUUUGAUUAAUAUGGUAAAUGCAGAAGAGAAUUCCUUUUGUUGAAUUUCUUU
rnacentral:lncRNA from 1 species